rnacentral:lncRNA from 1 species
AUUUGGAAAAAAUAUGAGGACCAACAGAGUAAAAAAAUACAAACAAUCCAAGCACCCAAACAAACAAAUAAAUAUAAAAAAUAAUUCAUCAUGUGGCCCAAAAAGCAAAUAAGUUACUUCAUGUAAAACUAAAGAUAUAUUCUUGCUCAGUCUUACAGAAAAACCCUGGUCAAUAUCUGUUUUUCACUUUUUCCCUCUGUCAUUCAAAAACCUACAUUUUGCCCCCUUAAAAAAUAAAAAAUGUUCACUUUGAUCCCCACCGUUAGUGUUCCAUUAGAGUUCCGUUUAUAUCCUUUUUUUACACCAAAAAUACCCCUGAAACCCUUCUCCUUCUUCAUCCUCGGCCACGUCGCCUCACCCUCCACUGUCUCGCCCUCGCUCACCUCUUUGUCCAUGCCCACACACACACCCUCGCCCGCCUCCGCUGCCUCACGCUCGCCCUCACCCACCUCUCUGUCCAUGCCACCCCAAAGAAGAUGAAGGGCAAUUUGGUCAUUUUGUUACAGCGUAUCCUUCUGUGAACAAUUUAUAUUUUUUAAGGGGAUAAAGUGUAGGUUUUUGUAUGACAUGGGGGAAAGAAAAAUAAGUGGGUAUUGAAAGAGAGAUUUUCUGUAAUUUAGCCUUAUACUUAAUAA